rnacentral:rRNA from 1 species
UACAGAGGGUGCGAGCGUUAAUCGGAAUUACUGGGCGUAAAGCGUGCGUAGACGGUUACUUAAGUCGGAUGUGAAAGCCCCGGGCUCAACCUGGGAAUUGCAUUCGAGACUGAAUAGCUAGGGUACGGUAGAGGGAAGCGGAAUUUCCGGUGUAGCGGUGAAAUGCGUAGAUAUCGGAAGGAACAUCAGUGGCGAAAGCGGCUUCCUGGACCAGUACCGACGUUCAGGCACGAAAGCGUGGGGAGCAAACAGG